UACAGAGGGUGCGAGCGUUAAUCGGAAUUACUGGGCGUAAAGCGCACGUAGGCGGCUUGGUAUGUCGGGUGUGAAAUCCCCGGGCUCAACCUGGGAACUGCAUCCGAAACUGCCUUGCUCGAGUAUGGGAGAGGGAAGUGGAAUUUCCGGUGUAGCGGUGAAAUGCGUAGAUAUCGGAAGGAACAUCAGUGGCGAAGGCGGCUUUCUGGACCAAUACUGACGAUCAGGUGCGAAAGCGUGGGGAGCAAACAGG
rnacentral:rRNA from 1 species